CAUCAAGAUGCUACAUCUCAAAAGUUUUGCAGGGAUGCUCAAGGUCACAGUCAACAUGUUUCUCAGAGAGAUUCAAGAAAUUAGCAAAAUGGCAUCUCAUCUAGCUCCAUUUGUUUCCUCUGUUGGAUCACAAAAUGUAUUUCCCUCUUCUUACACCUUUCCUGAGUUACAUCACAGCACCCCAUUAAGGCAAAUAUGAAUACAUCUAAUGACUCUCUCUUUCAGAACCACAUUGAAAUGCUUCUCCAAGAGAAGCAGCCUGCAUCCCCCUUGAGCAAUGAAGUCUGCCAUCUGCAGUGCCAGUGCCUGGGUGGAGGGCCCCUCUGUGAAGUGGAGGCUGUUGGCAGACUCUUCCAGCUGGAAGGAUCAGCCUGAAGCUCAAAGAGCCCUGGCACCUGAAGCCUCUUUGAUUCCUAUGCUCAGUGCAAGUUAAUACACCUCAGCUCCCCUGCUUCAAACAGAGCCCCAGCAUGACCAGAUUCUCUGACCCAAA